rnacentral:rRNA from 1 species
CAUGCAGUCGAGCGGAACGAGUUAUCUGAACCUUCGGGGAACGAUAACGGCGUCGAGCGGCGGACGGGUGAGUAAUGCCUAGGAAAUUGCCCUGAUGUGGGGGAUAACCAUUGGAAACGAUGGCUAAUACCGCAUGAUGCCUACGGGCCAAAGAGGGGGACCUUCGGGCCUCUCGCGUCAGGAUAUGCCUAGGUGGGAUUAGCUAGUUGGUGAGGUAAGGGCUCACCAAGGCGACGAUCCCUAGCUGGUCUGAGAGGAUGAUCAGCCACACUGGAACUGAGACACGGUCCAGACUCCUACGGGAGGCAGCAGUGGGGAAUAUUGCACAAUGGGCGCAAGCCUGAUGCAGCCAUGCCGCGUGUGUGAAGAAGGCCUUCGGGUUGUAAAGCACUUUCAGUCGUGAGGAAGGUGGUGUAGUUAAUAGCUGCAUUAUUUGACGUUAGCGACAGAAGAAGCACCGGCUAACUCCGUGCCAGCAGCCGCGGUAAUACGGAGGGUGCGAGCGUUAAUCGGAAUUACUGGGCGUAAAGCGCAUGCAGGUGGUUUGUUAAGUCAGAUGUGAAAGCCCGGGGCUCAACCUCGGAAUAGCAUUUGAAACUGGCAGACUAGAGUACUGUAGAGGGGGGUAGAAUUUCAGGUGUAGCGGUGAAAUGCGUAGAGAUCUGAAGGAAUACCGGUGGCGAAGGCGGCCCCCUGGACAGAUACUGACACUCAGAUGCGAAAGCGUGGGAGCAAACAGGAUUAGAUACCCUGGUAGUCCACGCCGUAAACGAUGUCUACUUGGAGGUUGUGGCCUUGAGCCGUGGCUUUCGGAGCUAACGCGUUAAGUAGACCGCCUGGGGAGUACGGUCGCAAGAUUAAAACUCAAAUGAAUUGACGGGGGCCCGCACAAGCGGUGGAGCAUGUGGUUUAAUUCGAUGCAACGCGAAGAACCUUACCUACUCUUGACAUCCAGAGAACUUUCCAGAGAUGGAUUGGUGCCUUCGGGAACUCUGAGACAGGUGCUGCAUGGCUGUCGUCAGCUCGUGUUGUGAAAUGUUGGGUUAAGUCCCGCAACGAGCGCAACCCUUAUCCUUGUUUGCCAGCGAGUAAUGUCGGGAACUCCAGGGAGACUGCCGGUGAUAAACCGGAGGAAGGUGG